UUAUUUAUUUUAAAUUUAGCAGAUGCUUUUAUCCAAAGCGACUUACAGUGCAUUAAGGCUAUACAUAUGUUUUUUUUUUGACCAGUAUGUGUGUUCCCUGUGAAUCAAACCCACAACCUUUUGCGCUGCUAACGCAAUGCUCUACCACUGAGCCACAGGAACAUUUUUAAUGCCUCUUAUUCUCUGCAUUGUUUUAAAACAAAACAUAGCAUGGUGGCCAAGAUGAGCUAUUUCCAUGGGUCCAUCACUUUUGGAUAAAAACUGCAUCUUUAAAUUUUCAAGGAUCCAUAUUUAGCUCCCAGAGACACAGGCGUUCUUCAAGCAUGCUGAGGAACAGCUACUCAAUGUUACGUGUAUGCUCCGAGCUCUGUUCAUCUUGUUCAUCUUAAUCACCACUCCCCCCGUGCCCCCAACCCCCACCCUUCAUCUCCAUUCUCCCUUUGUCCUCAGACAGCCCAUGGAAUAUUGCUUCCAUCAGCUGCCCUGUAUAAACCAAAUAAUCUGACAGGGAAGGUGAAUAUUUAUAUGACAGAGCAUACUAUCAAUGCUGAUGUCAUUGUAAGUCCUCUUUCCAUCUGCAGGCUGAAGAAAGGAGAGCGCAGGAGGAGGAGGAGGAGAGAAGGAUGCAGAGAGCUGCAGACCAUGCAUCUGAGCGCCUGUCUUGUCUGCUGGAAAAAGGAUUGUAAUUUUCUUCCCAAAGCUGGAAGAUGUACAUGUUCAUGGACUGAAAACACCACAGAGACUUUAGCAUCAAUAG